UACGUAGGGUGCGAGCGUUGUCCGGAAUUAUUGGGCGUAAAGAGCUCGUAGGCGGUCUGUCGCGUCGGUCGUGAAAACUUGGGGCUUAACCCUGAGCUUGCGGUCGAUACGGGCAUGACUGGAGUUCGGCAGGGGAGACUGGAAUUCCUGGUGUAGCGGUGAAAUGCGCAGAUAUCAGGAGGAACACCAAUUGCGAAGGCAGCUCGCUGGGACGUAACUGACGCUGAGACGCGAAAGCGUGGGGAGCAAACAGG
rnacentral:rRNA from 1 species